GCUCUGGGGACGGCCCUUUGAGCAAGGCCGCCUCGGCAUCGCCAUCGUAGACGGAGGCGGGCCCCGCGUAGUCGUUGAGUGAGGUGAGACUUGCCGCUCAGAACAACCACUCCCCACCUGCUCCUAGAGCCCAUGGGCAGCCCAGGACACAGUCUUUGGCUGCAAGUCACCAAAUCCAGCCCACGCUCAAGGCUUCCCCCAUUUUAAUAGAAGUGUCGAUGGAAGACAUUGUGUCCCUGUCUCAUUAAUGUACAUUGUGUGUGUAGAGAAAGAGAACUUUUCCUUUUUUAGCUCAUGGUUCUCUGCACUGAGGCCCCACACAGCUGUCUACAUCCAAGGAAGGCUGCCCGAGCAACAUCUCUGGACCUGGACCUAACUGAGAUAGAAGACCCUGGACCGGAGGUCUGAGCCGGGGACUGUGAGGAGAUACUGACAGUCCUGGGAGAGGCCCGCGAUGGACUGCGGUGGACUUCCCACAUUCAUGAGCCUAUAAAACUCCUGGUUCUCGUGUCCUCGCUAGACCCUUUCCACACUGACUCGGGGCUUGGACGUGUGACUUGCUUGGCAAUGGGACAUGAGCACAAGUGAUGCACGCAGAGGCUUAUGGGAUUGGAGCCCACGGGGGCUAGUUCUCUGGGAAAGCAGUAGCAAAACAGUCUCCUGAAAGACGAGAUACCACUUGAAAAGAGGCCCUGGAAGAUGGGGACCCGCUGGGACAUCGGGGCCCAGGUCGAGCCUCCAGCCGACGCGGCCACACGAGCAGCACCAGCUUCAGGUGUGGCCCGGGACGGCCCAGCUGAGCCCAGCCUGCGCCCGAAACCGUGAGCGUCUGCUGCCGUGAGCCUUACGUUUCCAGGGGUUGCUGAUGUACCAGUGGAGAAUGAAGCUUUUUGUUCUUUGUCCUCAACUUCUGUCCCCACACUCUGCCCUUCCCGCUCAAGUCCCAUAGUCCAAAACUAAUCAUUUCCCCAAACUCCACACUCGUACUAUAUUGUCCUUACUAAUUCCCAACCCUUGUUAGACCAAACCACCGUCCUACUCCAUACCUGCAUCCAAGCAGCCAGAGAAAACAUAAAAGCACACUCACUCAUUCUUUAAAUU